UACGUAGGGGGCAAGCGUUGUCCGGAAUCAUUGGGCGUAAAGAGCGUGUAGGCGGCCAGAAAAGUCCGCUGUGAAAACUCGAGGCUCAACUUCGAGCUGUCGGUGGAAACUUUCUGGCUAGAGUCCGGAAGAGGAGAAUGGAAUUCCUGGUGUAGCGGUGAAAUGCGCAGAUAUCAGGAAGAACACCCGUGGCGAAGGCGGUUCUCUGGGACGGUACUGACGCUGAGGAGCGAAAGCGUGGGGAGCGAACAGG
rnacentral:rRNA from 1 species